CAGUAGCCGCGGGAAUACGGAGGGUGCGAGCGUUAAUCGGAAUUACUGGGCGUAAAGCGUACGCAGGCGGUUUGUUAAGUCAGAUGUGAAAUCCCCGAGCUUAACUCGGGAACUGCAUUUGAAACUGGCAGGCUAGAGUCUCGUAGAGGGGGGUAGAAUUCCAGGUGUAGCGGUGAAAUGCGUAGAGAUCUGGAGGAAUACCGGUGGCGAAGGCGGCCCCCUGGACGAAGACUGACGCUCAGGUACGAAAGCGUGGGGAGCAAACAGGAUUAGAUACCCCGGUAGUCCCUGUCUCUUAUAC
rnacentral:rRNA from 1 species